AGUCACCAUCAUCUGUUUGAAUAAUACUAUCAGUCACCACCAUCUGUAUGAAUGACAGCAUCUUCAUCAUAGCCCCAGAAUUAUGCAGAAUAGUCUAGUAUAUUGUAAUAAAAUAACCAAUACUAGAAAACCACUAUAUUGGCUUUAUUCAACAAGAUUAAGCUACAGCCAACAAUGAACAAAUAUAAGUACAUCUCUAGUUGUUGAAAUACUAUAGACACACACACUGAACAUGACCUUCUGGCACACUGGACUCAUGCAGAAAAUUAAUAAUAAAUAUACACUACAUAUAUGUUGUCACAUCAAACCUGGUAUGUAUUGUCACAUUAGAAAUAGUAUGUAUAUAUGGCCUCCUUUAGUGGCGAAGCGACUAUGGAUCAUCUCAUAGAAAUGAGAUGAAUGCCUGGGCAUUAGUUAUGGUUGGAACGAUGUCGCCCACACAUCAGUUCCCCCCACUCCACGCAGCUGAUGUAUCCAAAGGAACGGCAGUGCCGAUACAGUUUGGGGUCAGUGGCCUUACAGGUUCUGCCAGAGUGUAGCACUGGGUGCUGCAAACUGCCUUAAGGUUGCCAGCUCCUGAUUUUUCCUCAGGGUUGACUCCCAAAGCCUUUCCCAUGAUUGGGUAUAGCUGCAUAGCAACAGAGGUUUGAAUUCAGAGUUUUCCUUCUCCUAGGUGGGUAGCCAGCCAUGGCUAAUGAGCCCCUCCUGCUCGAAGCUUACUGGUUAUGGCGCCAGUUACUCACCUUUGCCCCUUCUCCUGUUAGUGAGAACAGUUCCGCCAGACUCAAUAUCUGAGCCACACAUGAAGGCCAGGAGUUUGACUGUUUGUCAGAGGCACAUAAACAUUGCCACAGGUAACUCUAAUGUAGUUGACUUUAUUUUGUUGGUCUUUGCAUUGCCAGCUCUUUAUUUUCGAGGAUUCAUUAUAGUUGGAAAAGUUUUUAAAAUUGCAAGAAUUCUCACUAUGAUUUGAGUCUCCCUGCCAUUAGCUAUGGAUGAUGUUUGAUUAUGACUGCUAGAUAUUUAUUAUUGUUGUGGUACAACAGAUUAUUGAUUGUUGCAUUUUCUCCAUUAUGUUGCCAUCUAUUUACUAAGUUGUAUGUUUUUCAGAAAAGUGAAGACUGUGUGUGGAAGUUUGCCAGAGCCAAGCUUUGGAUUUCUUUCAUAGAGCCUGGGACAACACUCUCAAUACCUUUUGAUAUCAUUCCAACACCUAUAGCUGUGGUGAGACUAUUUCAAGGUCUCAGGACUGUAUUUCUUAUCAAUCGGUAAUCAUGCAUCACAUGCCCUCAGAUAUGUACAAAAAAUGAAGUUUGAGAAGAAAGAGAAAGGAUCAAGAUGAUUUACAAGACACUAAAGAAGUUAUCUAUCAACUAUACUCAAUGUAUGGACGACUUGCAGCCAGACUAGAAUUAUAGAGAAAGAUGUUUUUCUGCUGGCUAAACAUGUAUGGAUAAUGAUGCAGAGAAUUUCCUGGUGAUCAAGAAUUAGGAGCUGCACACAGUUUAAUGAAACCAUAUUUUAGGAACAGAUAGAAAACAAAGAACUACAGCAAAGAUGGCCUGUUCUUAUUCUUC